rnacentral:rRNA from 1 species
UACAGAGGUCUCAAGCGUUGUCCGGAUUCAUUGGGCGUAAAGGGUGCGUAGGUGGUGUUGUAAGUCGGGUGUGAAAUUUCGGAGCUUAACUCCGAAACUGCAUUCGAUACUGCGGUGCUUGAGGACUGGAGAGGAGACUGGAAUUCAUGGUGUAGCAGUGAAAUGCGUAGAGAUCAUGAGGAAGACCAGUGGCGAAGGCGGGUCUCUGGACAGUUCCUGACACUGAGGCACGAAGGCCAGGGGAGCAAACGGG